rnacentral:rRNA from 1 species
UACAGAGGUCUCAAGCGUUGUUCGGAUUCAUUGGGCGUAAAGGGUGCGUAGGCGGCGCGGUAAGUCGGGUGUGAAAUUUCGAGGCUUAACUUCGAAACUGCAUUCGAUACUGCCGUGCUUGAGGACUGGAGAGGAGACUGGAAUUUACGGUGUAGCGGUGAAAUGCGUAGAUAUUGGGAGGAACACCAGUGGCGAAGGCGGCUCGCUGGACCGGAACUGACGCUGAGGCGCGAAAGCCAGGGGAGCAAAGC